AAAGUCCCAGUUUCUGACUCAUGUGACCAACACGUUCAGAAUAUAUUGCAAGUGAACUGACAAAAUAUAGAUUCUGUACUUGUGAACUAUUUCGCACUAAUGCAAUUUAGGGAGACGACAUGCACUGCACACUGCCCGAGAUAUGGACUACCUAACCAAGCAUAUAACUUUUUCGCAAAACGCACAAGCCUAGUUUAAGGGCCUCACAGGGAUUGAUAUCAAAAGAUCAAUUAUAACACACAAUUAAUAUAUAGCCUAUAUGGUUCCUUAUUCUAGAAGUGAGAGGGUAAAAAAAAAACAUUUUUUAAAAUUCAUUGUAAUAAGAUUGGCCAAGAAAUUAUGACAAGUCAUCAAAACAACUUUUACAACACUGAUCUACUGCUUUUACAUGAAUUAAUAUCAAGUCCAUAUGUUUUCUACAUGUGACAUGUGGGCUUAAAUCUCUUUGACAGGCCAACGUGUUCUUCUCAACAUUUAUCAGACCUACAUCUUCAAAUGGCCCAUUAAAAAAACGCCUUCAUGCAAAGAUACAAUCACUUUUAUGACAUCUCUUAACAGUCUACUUGAGAAUACUUUGUAUGUCUAAGACAAAAGUUGAAUUCAACUGAGGGGGAGAAAAGUCCAUCUUCUAAUAUGCUUAAAGUGUGUUAGUCAUAAAAGUAGCAGUGAAGUCAGUUACCAAAUUAGUCUCAGGCAUAUUUUCACCAGCCAAAUGCCAUAGUCUACAUACCCCACUAGUGAAUUUAGCAUCUAUUCCCUAAAUGCUUUACGUAAUUAAUAUUAGCAAUGCUGAUCAUGACAUCUACAUGCUCAAAUGACACCUAGGUAAGACAUGCUGAAGCAUGUGUUUUAUUCCACGAUGAAUGCAAUACUAUCUAAUUAUUAUAUAUCUAAGUAUAAUGAUCAUUGACAUAGUACUCUCUACUAUUUAGGCCUACUAUCUCACCAUCUGACUAACAUCAAUACAUUUCUUUUACAGUGCUGUUUUUUUAAACAGUUUAAGUAGGCGGUGUUCUUCUCUCUCCUUUGCAACAGACUUUGUUUAUAGAAGCCUGCCAUUUUAAGCUACAGUUGUGACAAAGCUGUGGCUGUCAGCUGUCAGCUCUGUUAAACUAUUUUACACAUCAGUGUACUUAUUUUAACACUUCAUUCGUUUGUUAUUAUCAGUAUAAGGACAAAAGACAGUAAACCUUGUGAAGAUUAGCAUUUGUGAAACAUUAUCUUCUAACUGGAAUGAUAUCCUCUAAGAUAUCUUCAGUUAUUUUCUAACUGAAGUGAUAGAUCUCAGGCGUGAACUGAGUUUCAAGUUUAAAAACGGAAUCAAAUAGAUUACACCCUCAAACUAAGUGAGACAUCGUCAUUGACUUUCCUAUUGCUCUGUUUCAGGUCAUUUUAAGAUUUAUGUAGGCCACAGCUGAUUUACAUCCUAUCACCAUAAAGAUGAAAUGACUCACUACAAAAACUAAACCAAAAACAUUGCAUGACACAACUCCUCCUCAAUACCAACCAGGAAAACAGCCAAUAUGAGUGUGAGAGUGUAGAGUGCCUAAGUAGGAAGGCUUGGGAGGCUGGUAACACGGGCCUGGAUUGAAUAAGCACCAUGGCUAUGCUGGACAUCUGGGAUAUCCACCAAGAGUGCUGAUUUAAGUUGGGAUAUAAACGGUGCUCGCUGCCUGCCAAGCCUUUCUCAAUGGCAUUUUAUAUUGUUCCAGGUCCAGUCAGACUCAUCCCGCGACUUGCAAUAGUCUUUGUAAUCACUUUAACUAGACCAUAUCAGUCUCUAACCCAGGCUGCUGCUGUAACUAGGCCUGGGCCUACACUACAUGUGCGAGCAUAUGCCAGGGAAUGCUUAUUCAAGGUAUGUCAGGUCAUUGGAUUCGUUCGUCGAGUUUCCAACUGAAACACAGCAAUUCAAAAGCCAUAACAUAUGUAAUAUAUUGUCAUUACAUAGUAAUUGUGAAUACAGCAAACUCCUCUAAUUCAACUGGCCUAGGUUGUGUUUACCUUGUCUGCUACAGUAAAGCUGAAGAGCUAAUGAACUAGACUAGGGGCCCUUCUGAGAAAGACUGAAGCUCUGAACUCAUUCAACCCCCUUUAAAAUGCCCGCGCUAAUCCCAAUAACAGUCAGCCAUUAUAAAUAUACAAUUCAUAAAUUGCUUUCUGUGAAAUAUGAAACCCUCUAGCCUCAUCCACUUAAACUCAAAGUCUAAUGUGUUGGCCUAUUGACAGGCUGGUUGGUUCUUCUUUCGCCUCUGUUUGUUGUUCCGAAUGAUCCAGCCACGGUUCUGAUGGUACCCAACUAAUCCAAGCUGUGAACCCACUCCUCAACCAGUAAACGCAACGGUUCAAUCUCAAAAAUGUUGGAACAGACAUAAGAGAAAGAGAGACAGAGACAGAGAGAGAGAGAGAGAGAGGGAGGGAGGGAGAACGAGAAAAAGGCAGCAAGAAAAGUGAGGGACUUUUAGGGGCAGCUGUGUUUAAUUAACCCAGUCAUAAUGCCCCUAAAAAUCCUUAUUGCUCUUGCAAUGGUCAACAGAAUCUCCUAUAAGAACAAGUCUCUGUGUUAUGUGGCGACACACUCUUACGGACAUGUUACAAGCUCUAUGAAAUCCAUUGGUCACAUUGUCAAGUCCCUGAAAGAUGUUCAGACAGUCUUGAAGCAAGUUGGAGGGCAUUGAAAAUUGAAUAGAAAAUGCUUAUUUGUUACUCCCAACUGACGCAUUUCGACAAAUUACGGAUGUUGUCAGGGUGCUUUCCUAACUUGUCAAUUAAUUAGUCAAACAAAUCUAGUUAGAUGCAACUCUGGCCUCAGGCGUUCUUAUCCGGAGUUCACGGCUCGUUGAAGGUGCUGCAUCACGACACAACAACAGUUCCAACCUAGACAGAUAUGUAACAACAGAUCCAACCUAGACAGAUAUGUAACAACAGAUCCAACCUAGACAGAUAUGUAACAACAGAUCCAACCUAGACAGAUAUGUAACAACAGAUCCAACCUAGACAGAUAUGUGACAACAGAUCCAACCUAGACAGAUAUGUAACAACAGAUCCAACCUAGACAGAUAUGUAACAACAGAUCCAACCUAGACAGAUAUGUAACAACAGAUCCAACCUAGACAGAUAUGUGACAACAGAUCCAACCUAGACAGAUAUGUAACAACAGAUCCAACCUAGACAGAUAUGUAACAACAGAUCCAACCUAGACAGAUAUGUAACAACAGAUCCAACCUAGACAGAUAUGUAACAACAGAUCCAACCUAGACAGAUAUGCAACAACAGUUCCAACCUAGACAGAUAUGUAACAACAGAUCCAACCUAGACAGAUAUGUAACAACAGUUCCAACCUAGACAGAUAUGUAACAACAGAUCCAACCUAGACAGAUAUGUAACAACAGAUCCAACCUAGACAGAUAUGUAACAACAGUUCCAACCUAGACAGAUAUGUAACAACAGUUCCAACCUAGACAGAUAUGUAACAACAGUUCCAACCUAGACAGAUAUGUAACAACAGAUCCAACCUAAACAGAUAUGUAACAACAGAUCCAACCUAGACAGAUAUGUAUCCGUGUUUUUAACGAGGAAUACAUAUAUAUUUCAUUUCAUUGUUAUUUGUUUUUAUUGCAUUUGUUUUUAGGCUUAUGGGCAAUGAAAUGUACCAAUAUUUACAUAGAGUUGCAUAUUUUCCAAAACUUGGGUCGCAGGAAGACAUAGAAUUUCUCAUUUGGGUCCCAGGCUGAAAAAGUUUAAGAACCCCUUCUUUAGAUGAGUGGGAUGAUUAAAGAACAGAGCACACUUUGCCCAGACAGAACUAUAGACAUCUUCAUCCUCACUAAUGAUAGCUAUGCGCCUAUGGAACCCUGACCUGUUCACCGGAUGUGCUACCUUGUCCCAGACCUGCUGUUUUCAACUCUCUAGAGACAGCAGGUGCAGUAGAGAUACUCUGAAUGAUCGGAUAUGAAAAGCCAACUGAAAUUUACUCCUGAGGUGCUGACCUGUUGCAUCCUCUACAACCACUGUGAUUAUUAUUAUCUGACCCUGCUGGUCUUCUAUGAACGUUUGAACAUCUUGGCCAUUUUCUAUUAUAAUCCCCACCCAGGCACAGUCAGAAGAGGACUGGCCACCCCUCAUAGCCUGGUUCCUCUCUAGGUUUCUUCCUAGGUUUCGGUUUUUCGUAGCCACCAUGCUUCUACACCUGCAUUGCUUGUGGUUUGGGGUUUUAGCUGAUGUUUAAUUUUAAUUUUACCUUUAUUUAACCAGGCAAGUCAGUUAAGAACAAAUUCUUAUUUUCAAUGACGGCCUGGGAACAGUGGGUUAACUGCCUGUUCAGGGGCAGAACGACAGAUUUGUACCUUGUCAGCUCGGGGGUUUGAACUCGCAACCUUCCGGUUACUAGUCCAACGCUCCAACCACUAGGCUACCCUGCCGCCCCAGGGUAAGAAGAGCUUUAUAAAUAAAUGUGAUUGAAUUUGAUUGAUAAUGAUAGCUAUGUACCUUGCAGGUUGGCCUUAGGAUGUCAUUAUCUCCCCAGUAUCCAUUGUUUAACAUGCAGACAAGUGAGCUAUAUGUCCUUCAGUUUCUUGACUUUGUGCCAAAGGCCAGACAGACAGACGGGCAAAGGAUUCUGAUCUGAUCCGGGUUGGGGUGGGGUGUGGUGGGGUUGGAGAACUGUCUGAGAGGGGGAGGCUGGCUGGAGGAGGAGACGGAGAGGAGUGCUCCUCCGUGGGGGUGAGUCAUCGCCUUCGGAGGCUAUUCAGUGAGUUCACUCUGGAUGGAUCGUGAUCCUUCGGUUGGUCGGUGAAUCCGCCGUCCUCCUCGCCACAGCCAGAGAGGGGCUGUGAAGGAAAGUGUGGGGGCCUGGCUGGGCUGAUGACUCAGGGCCACGCACCGCACAAGGAGUGAGGGAGGAGGGGGAGGGAGGAAUUACUCCGAGCAUGUGGAAUCUCAUACAGCUAUCACAGGACAGACACUGUGCUUCUACUAGGCUCUGAGGCUCUGUAGAAGUCUGUCCUUAGACACAGUGGUAAUGGCAGUGGUAAGACGGCUAAGGGCCGUUGGUUUCCAUUGAAGAGGAACAGAACCGAGCAGUAUAUUCUUGUACUCGCACUUUGAAACAAAGUCAUGCCCACCUUCUUAUUGAAUGAAUGACUUUCUAUUGCAGCAAGUCGGUGCAGGUUUGAAGCUCUGCAACUCCAGCAAAGUAAUUAAGCAUUGCAUGCUGUCAAAAUAUUCCAUUACAAAAGUCUUGAAGAUUUGGGAAGUGUCUCCGAUGACUAUCUAAAUGGGAGGGGAGGUGAGUUGGGCCGUUUAUUGUCCAGUUCUUCCUGUUUCUUUCUUGAGUGAUGAUGCUCCUCCUCCAGCUCUGUCAUUGGAUAAAUCUUUUCAAAUAACAAAGCUUCAUUGAGUGAUGAUGACAAACAUUUCCAGAAAGAGAAUGUGAGGGGUGAGAGAACUACCUGUAUGACAUGCAAUACGGACUCUCUAUGCUCCCCCUCUAGUGUGAGUCAUCAGGCCUAAAGACGCCGAGCUGUGAGUGGUGAAUUAGGUGUUGAUAAUGGCCAACAGUGGAGGGCUGGUCAGCCGACAGGUGGGGGCUGGUGUGUGUUGGGUGUAUGUAUUGUGUGCAGUGCGUGCAUGUAUUGUUGUGUGCAUGUAUUGUGUGAGGGAGAUUAUGGUGUGUGUGUGUCUCCAUGAAGGGGAGUUGAUGUUGUGUGAUGCAUGACUCAACACGAGAGGAAGGCCACACCCAUGGGACGAGCCCAGGCUCCCUUCAGCGGUGGCAUGGGCCUAGAUCUCACUGACUAUGGGUGCCACGAUUAAAGUGUAUUGUCCUAACUGAUGAAGCUCAAACACUUGAAGAGCCACUCAAAUCCUGCACAAACACUCCGACAUAAAGGCAGAGAGGCCGGGCGAGAAAGUGGGGCACACCUUCACCCUCCGCUGUAUGCCCCUUUAUAAACAAACUCUUCCAACCUGAUUUCAGCCAACCAGCUGAGAGUCUGGGCCCAUAUUCACAAAGCGUCUCAGAGUAGCAGUGCUGAUCUAGGAUCAGGUCCCCCCUGUCCAUUUAUAACAGUAUAACUUUAGACCGUCCCCUCGCCCAUACUCGGGCGCGAACCAGGGACCCUCUGCACACAUCAACGACUGUCACCCACGAAGCAUCGUUACCCAUUGCUCCACAAAAGCCACGGCCCUUGCAGAGCAAGGGGAACCACUACUUCAAGGUCUCAGAGCAAGUGACGUCACCGAUUGAAACGCUAUUUAGCGCGUACUACCGCUAACUAAGCUAGCCGUUUCACAUCCGUUACACUCACCCCCCUUUUGACGACCUCCUUUUUCCGCAGCAACCAGUGAUCCGGGUCACGGCACCAAUAUAACAGUAUAACUUUAGACCGUCCCCUCGCCCAUACUCGGGCGCGAACCAGGGACCCUCUGCACACAUCAACGACUGUCACCCACGAAGCAUCGUUACCCAUCGCUCCACAAAAGCCGCGGCCCUUGCAGAGCAAGGGGAACCACUACUUCAAGGUCUCAGAGCAAGUGUCGUCACCGAUUGAAACGCUAUUUAGCGCGUACCACCGCUAACUAAGCUAGCCGUUUCACAUCCGUUACACAUACAAUCAUAUUCAUUAUGGUCUAAAAGGCAAAAAACUGAACCUAGAUCUGCACUCCUACUCUGAGACACUUUAUGAUAGGGACAGCCCAGAGUAAAUAGAAUGACUUAGCCAUGGCUUAACCAUGUGUUGCAUCUCCAUAAUGGUCAUUUCCUCCAGUAAUUACUCAUCAUUAAAGGUCUCUCUCCCAAUCACCUGGUUAGUGUUUAUAAUACGGUCUGCCUUGGUAAAUCCCCAUCAUUCUGAAAUAGCCUGAUUGUGUUUAAUUGGAGCGUUCACUAAACAGAGUCCACCCACCAGCAUCAACAAAUCCAAUGUAUUUUAACAGCAGGGAACAAUUUAAUCCGCCUCCAUAUAUCACCAUUGUAAACAACCAAGACGCAGAGCCCAAUGUUGCACAAUGAGCCUGCGUUGAGGAGGAGUUGAAAGGUCAGGUAAACACUUGUCCCAGGCUUUCCCUGCCUUUUUAAUCAGGACUCCUGUCCAUUUUUUGAUCUUGAUUAGAUCUCUUGACUUAUGGCUGUGUACACUAAUGCUGCACUUCUGGCGGCUCCUUAACUCACUGUUUGGUUUGUUUCAUGUGGACGGGAAUGUCAAGUUGCUUGUUGGCCUGGAGGCUUGUGCGCUGAGUUGCCGACAAACCAUGGAAUGAAUCCUUUGCAGACUAAUGGGCGGGCCAACCUUUUCCAGUGUUUGUCAUGAGUGGUUUACCAGAUGGCUUCCAUGGAGUUUCUCAACCUCCACCAAGUAGGGAAUUGCCAUUGACAGCAAGUAAACAACCUGAACACCAACUGCCGCCAACGUAAACAUCUUGAGGUAGCAUGUGUCUCUGCUACAUUCAAAACCACGGCUGCAGUUGUCAGGCUGGGUUAAAGGUCAUGAAGCAUCCAGUGACUGGUGGAAAUGAAGACCACACAGCUUGAAGAGAUCAGGUUGAAGAGAGAGGACAUAUUUAACUUGUGGGUCAUAGGUCAAACUCUCUCCCUCUACCUUUCCAUCUCCCCCGCUCUCUUUCACUCUCACCUUUCUCCUACCCUCUUUCUUCCCCUCUACCCCGCUCUUUAUCCUAUCACCCCACCUCUCUCUUUCUUCACCUACAUGUAUACUCCUGUCUUUUCCUCUUCUGACCCCCCCCCCUCUCUCCUUCAUUCUCACCCUCUCUCUCAGCCUGGCUGUUAUUUCUCCAUAUGUUUUGACUAUGUGCUACCUGAGCUGGUCUGUGCUGUGGGCCUGAGGCAGGUCUCUGGCAGGCAGCAGUGUUGGAGGGAGGCUUGGUGGUCUGUGUGUGACAUGGAGAAGGGCCCACCGGCACCGCAGCAGCCCCACUGAGGCCAGGUCUACAGCUGUCCCACCCUGCCAGGGCCUCUGCUUACAGUCACUCUGAGUUACGACCGUUGCUCCUUACUCACACACACACACACACACACACACACACACACACACACACACACACACACACACACACACACACACACACACACACACACACACACACACACACACACACACACACACACACACACACACACACACACACACACACACACGCUGAGGCAAGAUAUAUUCCUAGCAGGAGCUUAAGCCCUAUCUGAGAAAGCCCAUUCCCACUGGGCUUGUUAAAGACAGGCCAUGUAGAAAGAGUACAUUUAAAGCCCACACAUCAAAUACAGGGGAAAUGUGAUGUGUUGCUGAUAGCUCUCUGUGCAUUCACACCCACAACCUGUGCCAGAGGGCACAGACAAACACACACACACUCCCCGUACCAGAGGGCACGGGCACGCACGCACACACACACACACACACACACACACACACACACACACACACACACACACACACACACACACACACAGUACCAGAGGGCAUGCACACACAUACACCCCGUACCAGAGGGCACAAACACACCCUGUACCAGAGGGCACACACACACCCUGAACCAGAGGGCACGCACACAAACACACCCCAUACCAGAGGGCACGCACACAAACACACCCCGUACCAGAGGGCACAAACACACCCUGUACCAGAGGGCACACACACACCCUGAACCAGAGGGCACACACCCUGUACCAGAGGGCACACACGCAAACGCACACACAGACAAUGAAUAACCCCCACCAGACGCACACAUAGACGAAUGAUCCUUAACAGAGGACACACACAAACUCCCAAAGCCCUCAAAGGCGUGUACGGGCCCAGCAUACAUGUUUAUGUCUACAGAUCAAUCCAGCUGAUAAAGAAGCAGCCCAACCUUGACCUGAUAGAUCAACAAUGCUCUCUGUCUCUCCAUUAUUGGCGAGAUGUUUGGACACAGCUUGUAGCAGGGUGAUGAGGCCAGAACUGAUAUUGGAUUUCAUAACCCUAUAAUGCUAUAGUCCAAUCAUUGAAAUGCUUUACUUUAGAACAGAAGCUUUUGCUAAUUAAAUCAAUACAAUUGUCCUGUUGUUUGUUCUACAGCAAGGAGAACGUCCCCUGAAGGUGUGUGUGUGUGUGUGUGUGUGUGUGUGUGUGUGUGUGUUCAUGCAUGUAUGUGUGUGUGUCAAUGUAAUACAGUAUCUCAUGCAACAAUCACCGGAUGGAAUGCUUCUUGGUCCACAGGAAAGGAUGGAUGGAGAGAAGAUGGAUGGAUGGAGGAUCGAGAUUAGAGAUGGAUGGAUAGAGACUAUAGAUGGAUGGAGAGAGGAUGGAUUGAGAAAGGUGUGGGUGUAGAUGAAUGGUGAGUGGGGGUCCUGCAGUACUAAAAGCCGGUGACCCAGACCAUGCACACCCACUCACAGGGACCUAACACCACUCAGAGGACUGCUCCUUGGUCCACUGCUACCACAUGCUAAAACACUUAGAUACAACACACACACACACACACACACACACACACAUAGCAAAAUGCUAAAUGUGAAGUUCACAUUCAAAAUACAUCCCGAGACACAGACUACCAGUCAGAGACAUCAACACACGUUCUUGUGUGUGUUGCCAUGCGAUGGUGAUGAGCAGCACAUGACAUGAGUGGGGCGUGGAGCCCAACCUCUUAUCAGACAAAGGAGAUACACAGAGAAGAGAGAAGGAGGGAAGGAGAGGAGAGGGGGGAGGGGGGGACGUGCCGCCCCAGACUGCAGUCAUGAGGUCUCCAUCCCGUUCCACACGCUGAGUCUCGUGGGUAAAAAGCCAUAAAAAACAACUUUGCACUAUAGCCAAAACCCCCCUCACACACAGUCAAGAGUCACAACACACACACACACACAGUCAAGAGUCACAACACACACACACAAUCGAGCCACAGCACACACACAGGAACCGGACUGCGUAGAUUAAUGCCAUUCGCCCCGGGAGUACCCCUUUGGUUUUGUGUUGAGGAAGUCCAGACGAGCUAUUUCACACACACUGUUCAUGUGAUCCCAUAAAUUCACUUCCUUUUCUGUAUGUCUUGACCGAAAAGUUGCGUUUGUCAAUAAAAUGUUUGAUUUGCAAGUA